UACUGCUCAGUAACACGUCGAUAAUCUAACCUUAAGUUUGGGAUAGCCUUGGGAAACUGAGGGUAAUACCGAAUAGGGGAUUGAGGCUGGAAUGCACUUUCCCUUAAAGCUUCGGCGCUUAAGGAUGGGUCGGCGGCCGAUUAGGCAGUUGGUGAGGUAAUGGCUCACCAAACCUAAGAUCGGUAGGGGGGAUGAGAGUCCUAGCCCCGAGAAGGGCACUGAGAAAAGGGCCCUAGUCCUAAGGGAUGCAGCAGGCGGGAAACCUUUACACUACGCGUAAGCGUGAUAGGGGGAACCUAAGUGCUUGCCUUCAGGUAGGCUUUUGUCGAGUGUAAAUACCUCGACGAAUAAGUGGUGGGUAAGACCGGUGCCAGCAGCCGCGGUAAU
rnacentral:rRNA from 1 species